rnacentral:lncRNA from 12 species
UGACGAGAUCCGCCCUGUUAGCUUUAAUUACUUGUCUUUGUUCGUUCCUUUGUGAGUUUAAUGAAUGAGCCGAGCAAAAUUAAAAAUGCGUAAUGAAACGAAACCCAAACAGCAGACAGUACGCCAUGUUUCCUUCAGAUGGGUGGGAGCGGGGGCGGAAAACACGGGCAUAAUCAUUUAUCCUCGUAAAGUUGAACCAUUUAGUGACGUUAUUAUCAUCUUAGCCGUCUCAGUUUGAACUAAUACGCCACAGUUGAAGAAACAGCAAGCCCUCCCAUUUGUUUCAGCCAGUUAUUUCCAUGCAUCGAAAAAGAUUGUUUGUCAAGAUUAUGCAUGACAUUAGAAAUGUCAGAUGCCUCGUACAUAAAGGAGACGGAUGUCAGUAUGCGGCGAGGAGGUGGAGAAGAGCGGAGGUAGGAGGGAGAUGAAUGUCAGCGCUGGAAAAACAAACGGCGCCCGCAAGCCUGUGCACCGUCCCCGCACUGAAUUAAACCCGAAUUCAUCAACUAACAGCCUGCCUUAUACCAGAGUCCGCAAUGGAGCCAAGCAGCCAUUUAAAUAGAUGAAACUCCUUCAGAUGAUGUCUUAAUAUCCUGUUUCACAACACUUCUGAAGGGAGGAAUGGAAAUGUGGCAUGAAUACGUUAACGUCUCACAGUCUGUGCUGCAAUCUGGGGAGAAUGGAAAGUCGAGAGAGACCAACUGACACAUUUCGGCAGGCAGGCCACACACACACACACACGUACACACACAAUCUCAGCUGCUGGCCAUGUUGCUGUGAAGGACACAAAUUCUGCCAUGCAGCCAUAUGAAUCCUGGCUGUGUAGGGUGAGACAGAUAGUGAGAGCAGAGAAUAAUUCACACGGUGAACAGAUGAAGGGUUAUCAGUCCAUAUUCUGCUGCAUAAAUCUCAGAAUAUAGGCCUGCUGGGGCUAAAAAGAAAGAAAAAAAGAGAAAAGCAGCCAGGCUUUGGUUCUUAUCCUGCCCGCAUAAAAUGGAAGAGGCUAUGUACUAUUUUCUUAAUCUAAGAUUUUUGCAGUAGAGCCAUAAAGUAAAUGCUAUACUGCCAUUUAAGAAAGAAUCACCACCAUAACUUUAUAUAUGUGUGUGUGUAUAAAUUUGAAUAUUUACAAAAAAAUUGGAUUAUUAAAAGAUUAAAAUAUAGAUAGAAUUGUUGUAUGUUGUUGUCGUUAUACAUUUAAAUAAAAAUGAUUAUUAAAUAUGGGGUUGUGCCAACUUUUUAAUGUCUUAAAAUCCACUUCGAUUUUAUUG